CCUUCCUUCCCAUGCCAAUGUGCACGCUUGCCGGUGACUGGAGUCAUCGAAUUUUGUCAAAAUAAAAGUUUGAUUUUUUUUCUAGUUUUUGGGACGCCAGUGGUCGCCGCCAGCCACGGUUUUGGGUUCCUUUUGAUGGCGGUGCGCUCUCCUCCAGCCGCCGACCAUUCUCGUGCCAGCCGGUCGCCAGUCAACCAACCUUAUGAGGGGAUCUCAUGGUCCCUGUUUCACCUGUUUCACCCAUGGGAGGCCAU
rnacentral:lncRNA from 1 species